GAUGAACGCUGGCGGCGUGCCUAAUACAUGCAAGUCGAGCGAAUGGAUUAAGAGCUUGCUCUUAUGAAGUUAGCGGCGGACGGGUGAGUAACACGUGGGUAACCUGCCCAUAAGAUUGGGAUAACUCCGGGAAACCGGGGCUAAUACCGGAUAACAUUUUGAACCGCAUGGUUCGAAAUUGAAAGGCGGCUUCGGCUGUCACUUAUGGAUGGACCCGCGUCGCAUUAGCUAGUUGGUGAGGUAACGGCUCACCAAGGCAACGAUGCGUAGCCGACCUGGGAGGGUGAUCGGCCACACUGGGACUGAGCCACGGCCCAGACUCCUACGGGAGGCAGCAGUAGGGAAUCUUCCGCAAUGGACGAAAGUCUGACGGAGCAACGCCGCGUGAGUGAUGAAGGCUUUCGGGUCGUAAAACUCUGUUGUUAGGGAAGAACAAGUGCUAGUUGAAUAAGCUGGCACCUUGACGGUACCUAACCAGAAAGCCACGGCUAACUACGUGCCAGCCGCCGCCGUAA
rnacentral:rRNA from 1 species